UAAAAUACAGGUGGAACUUCAGAGUAAACCAUGGGAGGUCGAUAGGGCUGUACAGGCAUGGGGGUAGGUAUAAAAGGCGGAGACGUAUGAGGUGGGCCCCCCAUAAAUGGCCUAGCUGGACCUCUCUGUGGCUGCAUGCGUGCAUCCCUAUUCCCCCAACUUCUUUGGGGUUUCCAAUCCUGAUUUCGACGGUCCUGAUCACGCCUACCCCCAUAACCAUUAUGAUACAUGCCAUCUCCACGGGGGUGUGGACCAACACUGCCUCUCCUAUUUGCAUUUAGUUGAUGUUGGUAAUCAUUUCCACCAUGUGAUUGAGAUCCAAAUCCUCCCCAUUGUCCACCAUUCCUAUAAUUGUUAUUAUCCCUAGAGGAAGACUCAGCACCAGAGUUACCUGACUUGACAGAAUUAUUAUGGACUGUUUCCACCUCAAAACCUUGUGUCUGUUGCUGAGAAAAGCCACCAUUGGCGGAUGCAUUAUGGUUUGAAUUACCACCACCGCGCUUCAUAGAUCUUUGGCGGCUGGGUACAACAUGGUUCGGCAUAGUGUUAGGGUUCACAUUAUUAGUAUUAGCUUGCCUAUGAGAAGCUGACGCCAUCCCAGAGCCCUGUGUUACAGAAACUGAUCCGUCCGACAGAGAUUUGAGUGAAUCAGAAGAAGGCAAUUUAGGUGAAGCCUUAGUGGAGUCAGAGAGAGCAGGCCAAGAGACAGCACCCAUAACAGGACUAACAUCAGCUGCACCAUUUGAGGGUUUAUUCCAAGCCGGCUUUUUAGCCCCAUUGCUGUUGGUGUCACUCUCAAUCUGAGUGUCUAUAGCAGCAUCUUCUGGCGAUAAGGAAGACGCAUUACCGGCUGUCAGCACUUCAUCAGGAGGCGAACAAUCAGAGGAGUGAACAACUUGCUCACAGGAUGCCGGAGGAGAAAGUGGAGGUGAAGAGGAGGUGACCGCAACGGUAGAUUCUGAUUCGCCAGUGCGAACAGCCUGUGUCCAAGGUGAGGAAACACCACGCGCGGCUGAUGAUCGCCGUGACUGCUGUGGACUGCUGGGACCACCGGUGCCGGUUCCGGUUCCGGUUCCGGUGUGAGAAUGAUGUACCGGAGCCGGGUUAGUAGUAGGGGUAGCCAUCAUCAAAACUAGGGUUUCUUUGUACGGAAUUAAAAAAAAAAUCAAAAGUGAUCUCCGUAAAUCUCUGGAAGACGGAUUUCUAAUUAGUGCCUCUAUUAUACUUGAAAAUCUGUUAGACUACUAUUCCCAAAGAACAAAUAAACAAAUAUUGAAUCGAUCAAAAUUUUCUACAGAAAUACUGUAAAUCAAUGAAUGCAAAUAAAAGUUAGAGAUUAUUAUAACUGAUAAACAACAAUUCGAAGAUGAUUUUGCACCAAAACAAACUCACAGAGCAGAGAGAGACGAGCUUUCUCUCUCUUCCUCUCUCCUCCGAGCUUUCUCU
rnacentral:misc_RNA from 1 species